rnacentral:misc_RNA from 1 species
AACCCAGCAAUAUAACGAAGUUCCUAGACUUGCUGUUUCUCAUUUCUGUCUUACUACUUUAUUCUUCAAUGCUCCCUUUCAUAUUCAACUUGAUGCAUUUCUUCAGCUCCAAUAUUGGAAAGAAUUACAUGUUCCUUCUUUGCAACGGGAUUCUAGUUUUCAUCGUUAAGAAUUCCGGCCUAAUGUGCAGUUCUUAUCAUGAAAUUAAUCUCAUAAAAAAUGGAGAAAGUCCACAGAUACAACUUGAAACAGUUCCUGCAGAAAAACAAGUACACGAAAUAG